rnacentral:rRNA from 1 species
UACGUAGGGUGCAAGCGUUGUCCGGAAUUAUUGGGCGUAAAGCGUCCGUAGGUGGCUUUACAAGUCAGCUGUUAAAGCGUGGAGCUUAACUCCAUAAAGGCAGUUGAAACUGUGAGGCUAGAGUGCGGUAGGGGUAAGGGGAAUUCCCAGUGUAGCGGUGAAAUGCGUAGAUAUUGGGAAGAACACCGGUGGCGAAAGCGCCUUGCUGGACCUGCACUGACACUGAGGGACGAAAGCUAGGGGAGCGAAAGGG